rnacentral:rRNA from 1 species
UAAAAGUCGUAACAAGGUUCGCCAGUGUAGGUGACGACAACUCUUCCAACGAAGAGGAUGUCAGUACUCACCCCUAUGGGAGCCUUGCAUUUCAGUCUACCUUGUGUAGGCAACAUCGACAUGGUGCUGGGAUUUCGCCCUUUGCCGGUGAAUAUCAGCAGCCGCUCACGCGGCUCACAGAUCAAACGUCGGUGGCCCGGUGAGGUCGUGACUCUCCCCUGUAGCUACACGGGAACUGUCAACCUCGAUUGGUCCCGGGCUCAGAUAUGACCGGCCUUGUUACGAAAGUGACGAGAACUGCCGCGUUCCGUAGGUGAACCUGCGGAAGGAUCAUUACCGAGAGAGGGUCCUCCGGGCCCGAACCUCCAACCCUUUGUGUACCUUACCUUUGUUGCUUUGGCGGGCCCGCUGGGGCAACCCACCGCCGGUGUUGAGCCGGUGAGCGCCCGCCGGAGACCCUCAAAACUCCGUCUGCCAGUGUCGUCUGAGUACUAUGCAAUAGUCAAAAAACUUUCAACAACGGAUCUCUUGGUUCUGGCAUCGAUGAAGAACGCAGCGAAAUGCGAUAAGUAAUGUGAAUUGCAGAAUUCAGUGAAUCAUCGAAUCUUUGAACGCACAUUGCGCCCCCUGGCAUUCCGGGGGGCAUGCCUGUUCGAGCGUCAUUACACCUCUCAAGCUGUGCUUGGUAUUGGGCCGUCGUCCCCGGGGACGGGCCUGAAAGUGAGUGGCGGUGCAGCCUGACUUCGAGCGCAGUAACUUAAAAACCCGCUCCGGGAGCCUUCAGGCUGGGCCGGCCAGACAACCCACCCGUAUUUUCUAUGGUUGACCUCGGAUCA